UCGGCUCCUCCACUCCC
rnacentral:miRNA from 1 species